GACGAACGCUGGCGGCGUGCUUAACACAUGCAAGUCGAACGGAAAGGCCCUGCUUUUGUGGGGUGCUCGAGUGGCGAACGGGUGAGUAACACGUGAGUAACCUGCCCUUGACUUUGGGAUAACUUCAGGAAACUGGGGCUAAUACCGGAUAGGAGCUCCUGCUGCAUGGUGGGGGUUGGAAAGUUUCGGCGGUUGGGGAUGGACUCGCGGCUUAUCAGCUUGUUGGUGGGGUAGUGGCUUACCAAGGCUUUGACGGGUAGCCGGCCUGAGAGGGUGACCGGCCACAUUGGGACUGAGAUACGGCCCAGACUCCUACGGGAGGCAGCAGUGGGGAAUAUUGCACAAUGGGCGGAAGCCUGACGCAGAAACGCCGCGUGCGGGAUGACGGCCUUCGGGUUGUAAACCGCUUUCGCCUGUGACGAAGCGUGAGUGACGGUAAUGGGUAAAGAAGCACCGGCUAACUACGUG
rnacentral:rRNA from 1 species